UUCAGCACAUUAGCACUGAGGAGCCAUGGGU
rnacentral:piRNA from 1 species